GUAGUCGGUUAGGUGGUACUUGUACAAGAAAUUGGAACGAUGCAGAGAGGAUUAGCAUGACCCCUGCAUACGGAUGGCACGCAAAAUCGUAAAGCGUUUUAAUUUAUU
rnacentral:snRNA from 1 species